UGCCCUCUAUCCCAAACAGGUUAAUCACAUACAUUUCACAAUAUUUAGACGUAAACCUGACAGCUGGGAAAUGUACACUUUAAGAGAUACAAUUAUGUGCGUUUCCUGUCCUACAUGAGAUCACAAAAUGAAACACACUCGUUAUGACUGUCCCUUAAGUGUCCACGGACCACUCCCACAUUCUCAAAAAUAGAAAUAUUGUUUAAUUAUUCCAACUUUUGAUGUCCAAGUGUCUCUCUGUGUUCCACAGUUUACGUUCCAUUCUCAAACACUACAGAGCAUAGUGGCAGCGUAUUUUAUGACCGACCAUAAAACAGCCGACUUCCCGUUCUCCCCCUCUACGAGAGAGAGCAUGCUGUAGCGCGGACCCAGUGUAACCUGAUCCUUCAGAUCAUCACAGAGUUAUGACACCUCCAGCAGUCUCUAAUAAUGGUAACAUUGUAGGACCAUAAACUCCUGUUAACUUCUCUGGGAUAGGUGGGACGGUAGCGCCAAAAUCUAGAAAAAAAUGUAGCGCGCCAAAUUCAAAUAUAUUACUAUAAAAAUCAAUCUUUCAUGAAAUCACACAUGAAAGACACCAAAUUAAAGCUACACAUGUUGUGAAUCCAGCCAACAUGUCUUAUUUCAAAAAGGAUUUACGGGGAAAUCACACCAAACAAUUAUGUUUGCUCAGUACAUAGCCACAGAAAAACACAGCCAUUUUCCCAGCAAAAGAUAGUAGUCACAAAAAGCAGAAAUAGAGAUAAAACUAAUCACUAACCUUUGAUGAUCUUCAUCAGAUGACACUCACAGGACAUCAUGUUACACAAUACAUUUAUGUUUUGUUCGAUAAUGUGCAUAUUUAUAUCCACAAAUCUCGGUUUACAUUGGCGCCAUGUUCAGAAAUGCCUCCAAAAUAUCCGGAGUAAUUGCAGAGAGCCACGUCAAAUAUCAGAAAUACUCAUCAUAAACUUUGAUGAAAGAUACAUGUUUUGCACAGAAUUAAAGAUACACUUGUUCUUAAUGCAACCGCUGUGUCAGAUUUAAAAAAAGCUUUACGUAAAAAACACACAAUGCAAUAAUCUGAGACGGCGCUCAGAUUUAACAACAUUUCUCCGCCAUGGUGGAGUCAACAGAAAUAGGAAAUUACAUCAUAACUUUUCCCUUACAUUUGAAUAUCUUCAUCAGAAUACACUGCCAGGAAUCCUAGUUCCACAAUAAAUCAUUGUUUUGUUCGAGAAUGUCCAUUACUUAUGUCCAAUUAGCUACUUUUGCAAGCAUGUGUAGUACACGUAUCCAAACGCUCACGCAGAUGCAGGCAAACGCCGGACGAAAACUUCAAAAAGUUAUAAUACAAGUCGAAUAAACUGGUCAAACUUAGUAGAUAAUCAAUCUUCAGGAUGUUGUUAUCAUAUAUAUCCAAUAACGUUCCAACCGGAGCAUUCCUUCAUGUCUGUAGAAGUUAUGGAACGCAAGGCGAUAUCUUGAGGAAAGCGCAUGACCAAGAACUGGCAAUCUGCCAGACCAAUGACUGAAACACCUCCCAUCCGGCCCCACAUCACACUAGAGGCUUCAUUCAGCGUUCUACAGACUGUUGACAUCUAGUGGAAGGCGCAGGAAGUGCAAACAGAUCCAUAUAUUACAGGGAAUUGAAUAGGGGAUGACUUUAACAUCGACCAGUCUCAGAAUUCUCACUUCCUGUUUGGAUUUUUUCUCAGGUUUUUGCCUGCCAUAUGAGUUAUGUUAUACUCAUAGACAUUCAAACAUUUUUAGAAACUUCAGAGUGUUUUCUAUCCAAUAGUAAUAAUAAUAUGCAUAUAUUAGCAUCUGGAACAGAGUAGGAGGCAGUUCACUAUGGGCACGCAAAUCAUACAAAAGUGAAAAUGCUGCCCCUAUAUCAAAGAAGUUAAACAGUCUGCUACAUUAUCUUGUAACACUGGUCACUACAUUAGACUAACUCUGACAAUAACAAAGGGGUUGACAUCUGCAUCAUCCCAUAUUACAGUACACUCCAUUAGGCCACAUCAACUUCCAUUAGCCCGCUGUGUGUGUGUGUGCGUUGCACCUGGAACUGAGGCUAGUCAGUAGGUAUGCCCGGUCUGUGGGUGUUCUUCCACCAACACAGUUUGUCCUGUUCAUUGAUGGCCAUGAGAGUGUUGUGGAGCUUAUUAUAUACAGCCUUCACACUGAGAGAGAGAAGUAGAGGGGUAAAAGGGGGUGAGAGGAAGAUUAAAAAAAAAGGGCAUACCACCCUGCGUCCCGCUGAUGGCUUGCCUCUGAAAUUAAACAAGGUUGGUCCUGGUUGGUCCCUGGAUGAGAGACCAGAUGUUGCUGGAAGUGGUGUUGGAGGGCCAAUAGGAGUCACUCUUUCCUCUGGUCUAAAAAAAUAUCCCAGGGCAGUGACUGGGGACAUUGCCAUAUGUAUUUAUUAUGGAUCCCCAUUAGCUGCUGCCAAGGCAGCAACUACUCUUCCUGGUGUCCAGCAAAAUUAAGGCAGUUUAUACCAUUUUAAAACAUUAUAUUCACAGAUAUCACAACACACUGUGUGUCCUCAAGCCCCUACUCCACCACUACCACAUAUCUACAGUACUAAAUACAUGUGUAUAAUGAGUAUAUGCAUGUGUUUUUGCCUAUGUUUGUGUUGCUUCAAAGUCCCUGGUGUUCCAUAAGGUGCUUCUUUUAAAUCUAAUUUUACUGCUUGCAUCAGUUACUUGAUGUGGAAAAGAGUUCCAUGUAGUCAUGGCUCUAUGUAGUACUGUGUGACUCCCAUAGUCUGUUCUGGACUUGGGGACUGUGAAAAGACCUGUUGUGGCAUGUCUUGUGGGGUAUGCAUGGUGUAACUAGGAGGAGAGGCCUCAUUUAACAUAUUAGUUUCAUCAGGUUUGAACCAUGUUUCAGUCAGGCCAAUCACAUCAAGAUUAUGAUCAGUGAUUAGUUCAUUGACUAUGACUGCCUUGGAACUGAGGGAUCUAACAUUAAGUAGCCCUAUUUUGAGAUGUGAGAGAUUGCAAUCUCUUUCAAUAAUAACAGGACUGGACGAGGGCCCUAUUCUAGUGAGAUUGCUAAGGUGAGCACGGCUAUGUUUAGUUUUGCCCGACCUAGAUUGAGGCACAGAAUAGGGAAAGUUGAGUGGUCUCAAUGGGGAAAGCUGAGUUGACUAUACUGACUGUGGCAGUGACAGACUCCACUAAACUGGCAGGCUGACUAACUGCCUGCUGUCUGGCCUGCACCCUAUCUCAUUUUGGAUCUAGAGGAGUUAGAGCCUUGUCUAUGUUGAUAUAAAAGAUGAGAGCAAUGGUCCAGCUAGGACUGGCCACAAUUCCUGACCACAGCUACUAACCACUACCACACAACUACUGACCACAACUAAUCACCACAACUACACAUCUACUGACCACAACCACACAACUAGUGACCACAAAUACUGACCACAACUCCUGGCCACAACUACUAACCACAUCCACACAACUACUGACCACAACCAUAUAACUAACUACUGACAAAAUCCAAACAACUACUGACCACAACCAUAGAACUAUUGACCAAAUCCACAGUACUACUUACCACAACCACACAAUGACUGACCACACAACUACUGCCCACAACCACACAAUUACACAACUACUGACCAGAAAUACUGACCACAACUCCUGACCACAACUACUAACCAGAACCACACAACUACUGACCACAACUUACAACCAUAUAUACUGACCACGUCCACACAACUACUGACCAUAACUACUGACCACAACUAAUCACCAUAACCACAUAUCUGCUGACAACGACAACUGACCACAAUCACACAACUACUGAUCACAACAAAUAAUCACAAUCACUGACCACAACUACUGACCACAACCACACAACUAUUGACCACAACUACUAACCACAAUUACUGACCACAACCACACAACUAAUGACCACAACCACAUACCUGACAAUAACCACACAACUACUAACUACAACUAAUGACCACAACUACUGACCAAAAUCACACAACUACUGAUCACAACAACACGACUCCUGACCACAACAGCACAACUAAUGACCACAACUAUUAAUUUAAACCACUGACCACAAUUUGACUCGUUUCAGAAAUCUAGUCUAUGUCGCAAGUCAUGACUUCAUAGGAGAGGCGUUUGAACAUUUUUUUUAUAAAAUAAAUAAAUCUAAAUGCGUUUUUGGCCAGAAAUACCUUCUUGAACAUUUGAACUUUCAUGUGCCUUAAUAACAAACGUGUAUGCCAUCUGUAAAUACAAAUAAAGUUGUUAAAUUACAAGCCUAAAAAAAGGCAGUAACAUUCCUACUAGCCAUGAUUGACUGAGAUAUGAAUUUAUUUAUUUAUUUAUUUUACCGUUAUUUUACCAGGUAAGUUGACUGAGAACACGUUCUCAUUUGCAGCAACGACCUGGGGAAUAGUUACAGGGGAGAGGAGGGGGAUGAAUGAGCCAAUUGUAAACUGGGGAUUAUUAGGUGACCAUGAUGGUUUGAGGGCCAGAUUGGGAAUUUAGCCAGGACACCGGGGUUAACACCCCUACUAUUACGAUAAGUGCCAUGGGAUCUUUAAUGACCUCAGAGAGUCAGGACACCCGUUUAACGUCCCAUCCGAAAGACGGCACCCUACACAGGGCAGUGUCCCCAAUCACUGCCCUGGGGCAUUGGGAUAUUUUUUUUAGACCAGAGGAAAGAGUGCCUCCUACUGGCCCUCCAACACCACUUCCAGCAGCAUCUGGUCUCCCAUCCAGAGACUGACCAGGACCAACCCUGCUUAGCUUCAGAAGCAAGCCAGAAUGGGCUGGACAUGCCGAGAGAUGAGUUUCGGAUUGGUCUGCCGUGUAGCAUCUUCUGUCUAUAAAAUAAACUGCUCGUUAUGAGUAGAUAAUCCUUUCUACUGCAGUUAUUUCUAAAGAUAUAACGUUAACCAUGGAGAACUGCAAAUGUGUUGCUACUGCUCUUAAUAACAUUGCUGCCCUGAAUUUAUCAGCUGCUAUCGACAAGGGUCAGUGGGAAAAAGUUGUGAUGGACUACUAUCAGGAGGACGAUCGUACCAUGCUGGCUCUCUCUGAUUCUGAAAAUGAAUCAGAAGAUUUGAACCACAGUGACUUGACACAACGUGCCAAGCAAGCUGUUCAAACAAAAUGGAAACGACACAGGACGUCUUAUUUAAUGAAAGGGGUUGCAGUCUGCUGUGAAGCGUUCAUCCAUGUAUAUGGGUAAGAGUCUAGCUACAGUUUCAGAUAUUAUACGUUUCUAAUUUUGUCAGAAAUUUGUUUUCAUUGCAAGUUAAAGCUUACUGUUAGCUAGUUAGCUGAUGUUAUGUGACUGGCUCACUUGCUAAUAUUACCUGUAUGAUCUGUGGAAUAAUGCUAUCUCAGAAAUAUAUUUGCAUUGCUAGUUAUAGCCUAAUGUUAGCUAGCUAAAUAGCUAACAUUGAACUUAUUUGGUUAACUGUAGCUAGCUAUGACAACCUGUUUGUAUUUCAUUGUUUAGCUAGCUAACUAGCUAGCUCAAUGUCUACACAAAAUACCCCAAGUUAAAGUGUACUGUUAGCUAGCUGAUGUAAAAUGGCUGGCUCGCUGGCUAGCAUACGUGUACGGUCUGUGGAGUAAUAUUAUCUCAGAAAGCCAUUUGCAUUGCUAGUUAUAGCCUAAUGUUAGCUAGCUAACUAGCUAACACUGAACCUAGUUAUGACAAUCUGUUUGUAUUGGUAGUACUCUAUGGAUUUGGAUUAUGGUUCAUUGUUUAGUUAGCUAGCUACAAGUCUAAACAAAAGACUCCACUUCGCCAGAUGAUUACAUGACCUAUCAAGUUAGCCAGGUGUGUCUGAUGGUGAUUACGGCUAUCUAUUGUAUAAUAAUGCAAAAAUAUUUGUACCUGGAAUUUGUCUUUCAGCAUCAGUAGAACACGCCUGACUCUCCUCCACCAGUCAUAAAAGGAGAAUGGUCUAAUGCCUCCCAUCAAAAAGAGAGCUGGCCCAAGCAAGCACUUGUUCAGAGUGAGCGGUCUGUCGACCAGAAGAUGGUUGCUGACUGCAAGACCACCUGUCAAGACCUGCAGUUGUCUCUGAGUGCACUACUGAACCAGCAAGCAAAGACAUCAGGAAUGCUUUACAGCUUUGAUUUUGCACAACAAGUGCACUAUUCUUCUGACUCUAUGCAGCCAGGUCCCAUCUACUUGUUUGGUGUCUGCUGUGAAGGAAAACCACAACAAGUCAACUACUUGAUUGAUGAAGGCAUGUCAUCCAGCACGGACAAUGCACAGGCAGUCAUCAACUACAUGCACCAUUUCUUCACCGACUAUGGUUAACGUCUACAUCACUAGAGGAACAGUGGAGGAGUAGGAUAAGGGUACGGCUAAAGGCUAUAAGAACUGGUCGUCUAGUGCGUUGGGAACAGAGAAUAAAAGGGACAGAUUUCUGGGCGUUGUAGAAUAGAUUCACGGCAUAAUGUACAGACAAGGGUAUGGUAGUAUGUGAGUACAGUGGGGGUAAACCUUGGCAUUGAGUGACAAUGAGAGAGCUUGCAUCUCUGGAGACACCAGCUAAGCCAGGUGAGGUCUCCCCAUGUGUGGGGUGUGUGACAAAAAGAGCUAUCUAAGGCAUGUUGAGCUGGACUAGGGGCUCUACAGUGAAAUAAACUGUAACUAACCGAUACAGCAGAAGACAAGGCAUAUUGACAUUAGAGAGAGGCAUGUGUAGCUGAGUGAUCAUAGGGUCCAAUGAGCAGCAAUAGGUGAGUCCGGGAGCCAUUCGGUAGUCGCUACUAUUCUAGGCGAGCGGGAGGCACUGCGUUCAGAAAGCUAGCGGGCCGGGGCUAGCAGAUGGGUCUUCGGUGACAAUGCAACAGAAAAGCCUGUUGAAACCACAUCGGACGAUUAUGUCAGCAGACCAGUCGUGAUUGAUUGGCGGGGCUCCGUGUCGGCAAUAAAUGGUCCAGGCCAAUUGGCAAAAGAGGUAUUGUAGCCCACGAAUUAGUGGGUAUACCUCUUCGGCUAUCCAGGAGAUGGGUCUAGCUCAAGGCUAGCUCAAGGAUAACUGGUGCUUGCUUUGGGACAGAGGCAUUAGCCAGAUCCGUACCACAUUGGGUGGGGCGUGUUGCAGGAAAGUAUAUUUAGAUUGUAGGUGGAAAGUGAGAUUAAAAUAUAUACCAAAAAAAACGAUGAGAUCAACUAUUUACAUGGAACAAGACGGGACAAGACAAUCACACGUCCGACUGCUGCACCAUCUUGGAUUCGAAAAAAAAGGAUGGUACGGUGCUGGUGGAAAGCUAUGGCUGGCAACAACACCUGACUCCGUACUUCAGGCCGCUGCCACAGUGCAAGCAGUACCAGCACUUCAGCUUCAAUGUUCUAGAGCCUGGUGUUGCUGUCGCAAAGGAGUCUUUGGACUGAAAACCUUCGUGACCAGGUUUCAGCUGCUGCGCAACGCUGACAUCCUCCCUCCCAUUGAUCAUCUGACUGUACAUGCACCACCUGAACUGGACAGAACUAUACAAACGUAUGUUUAUGAGAAAAUCAGGGAGUUUUGCGACAAAGAGGCUUCGGACAUCACACGCCCUGCACCAAAGUCAAGGGCAGGACCGAAACAGGCUCUCCGAAUAUAGAUUCCCUUUUUCAUGUGUGGCUUGGACGGACCAGUCAUCAGCACUAUCUGCAGUGCCUCUAUUCAAAUGUCUCUCUCCUAACGCACACACGCCAUACGUUGCUGCUACUACUUUUUUUUAUCCUGCUGCUCAGCCACUUUAUCCCUGAUUGUAUGCAUAUGACUACCUCAUCUAUCACUGAUGUUGUUAUUGAUAUUGUUCUUUUACAUAAUGUAUAUUAUUUUAUUUAUAUUGUCACUAUCUAUUUCUGAUAUUGCUACUCUGCAAGUAACCAUUUGGCUGUACCGUUUACACCUUCUGUAGAGACCCAUCCACUUGGCAAGAUGUGGCUGGGGGUUAUAGCAUUUCUUUCAAAUGACUCGUUAAUUUAGACAAGAGUGUCUGGGUAAGCGUCAUCUAAUAUUUAUAAAAUAUUUUUAUCUGGACACUUUCUGUUUACCUGGAAUUUUUCCUCAUUGUAAGCUACUACUUUUACCACUUUUAGUCUUAAUCUUUACUACACUACUCACUGUUUAGCACAUUAUCUCACAUCUGAAUCCUUAAAGAGAUGGGUGGGGCUGGUUUAAGAGGGUGUGAACAAUGCUGAAUGGGUGUAGACAAAGGAGAGCUCUCCACCAGGUACCAAAAACAUUCAAAGGCCAUUUUCUCAAAGUCCGUUUACAAGUUUAUCAACUCUCAAAGCAGAAUUACUUUCCCAUUACUCCUGAAGAAUUCAGUGUAUGAUAUACCAUUUUGUAGCUCUUAGUCUCUACUCUUAUCCAAUGUAAAAAAACAAAUUUCAAAUUUUGCAACAUAAGACCGAUUUGAGCCAGUUGGUCACAUAUUAUUGACCUAAAAGGUUAGCCAUGUUAGCCCAGUCGCUAGCUUAUCCAGGGUCAGUGAUUCAUAGAGCAACCAUGUACUGUAUAUCUAUGGGAACAACUGCAAUAAUUUAGCAAGCAACAUUGGUUAAAUUAAUGAAAUACAAUUAAAUGAAGCAAAUAAAAUGUUUCCUGUAAUGCUCAUCUCCUGCAGCCUAAUUGUCGUCACCUUAUUUUCAUACGGUACCUAAAAGGGUUAGAUUUGCACAUAACAGUUUUAUAUGUCAGCACGUAAAAGACAAAAUCUGGUUCAUGGUUUGCCUGAAAUACAUUGUCUAUUGGUAUCAUUGUAAAUUGAGAAAAUAUGGCUCAACAUGUAAACAAUAUUUGAGUUUAGCUAUUCUCUGCUUCAGAUGACAUGUGAAUUAGCCACAUAGUGGUGCUAUAAUAAGCAAUUGAAAUGUGAAAAUUGAAAAGCUCAUGCCCCUCACCACAUGUGAGCUAGAGUCCUAGAAAUUGGUUCAUAGGUCCCUCUCCUCACAAGGAACAAAUUUGACAAAAUUUGA